AUGACGCCGCGUGAGGGAUGAAGGCCUUCGGGUUGUAACCUCUUUCAGUAGGGAAGAAGCGAAAGUGACGGUACCUAAAGAAGAAGCACCGGCUAACUAUGUGCCAGCAGCCGCGGUAAUACAUAGGGUGCAAGCGUUGUCCGGAAUUAUUGGGCGUAAAGAGCUCGUAGGUCGUUGGUCACGUCGAUUGUGAAAAUCUGAGGCUCAACCUCAGACCUGCAGUCGAUACGGACUAACUAGAGUGUGGUAGGGGAGACUGGAAUUCCUGGUGUAGCGGUGGAAUGCGCAGAUAUCAGGAGGAACACCAAUGGCGAAGGCAGGUCUCUGGGCCAUAACUGACACUGAGGAGCGAAAGCGCGGGGAGCGAACAGGAUUAGAUACCCUGGUAGUCCGCGCCGUAAACGGUGGGCACUAGCUGUGGGUCCCUUCCACGGGAUCCGCGACGCAGCAAACGCAUCAAGUGCCCCGCCUGGGGAGUACGAUCGCAAGAUUACA
rnacentral:rRNA from 1 species